UACGAAGGGGGCUAGCGUUGCUCGGAAUUACUGGGCGUAAAGCGCACGUAGGCGGUUUGUUAAGUCGGCGGUGAAAUCCUGGAGCUCAACUCCAGAACUGCCUUCGAAACUGGCGAUCUUGAGUCCGGGAGAGGUGAGUGGAACUGCGAGUGUAGAGGUGAAAUUCGUAGAUAUUCGGAAGAACACCAGUGGCGAAGGCGACUCACUGGACACGUAUUGACGCUGAGGUGCGAAAGCGUGGGGAGCAAACAGG
rnacentral:rRNA from 1 species